CACUACGAGCAUAUCGUCGAGGACUAUCUGGACGAUAUCGAGAAGGGUACGGUGUAUGCGGAUAACUUUCGGCAGCUGCUCAAGAUGCGUUCGCGGGCCUGCCGAAGGUUGCGCCGCUACCUGCUCUACUUUUACUAUCAUCCGGACCACGGACAAAGUGAUAGCACGAGACACUAUCGCUAGUGGCUGGUCGUAGGGUUUAGCUAUUACACGUCCCCUUUUCCAAACUAUAACGCCCAUGGAUACUGUCCUCUGCCCAGACUUCCAUCAAAAGAUUAACCAAGGAUCUAUGUGUUAUGUGGCUUGUAAGUUAGAAUAGUACAUUAGUGCCUAUAGUACCUAUGCUUUGAUGGCUGUUUACUAGUGAAGUCAAAAUUGUCGCCAUGAUUUAUUACCCCUACUCCUCAUUUCUAUGUUUGUGUCGCAUAGAAGCAAUAUUUUAUGUUAAUAAACCCCAUUUUCAAAAUUUAUCUUUCACACCCCAA